rnacentral:misc_RNA from 1 species
CCAUGUAGCUACUUCACGGAUGUUUCUGUCAGUCAUCCUAUCGCACUCAAUGACUCGACGUAAAUUACAUACGGACUGAUUAUACAGCUAACGCGAGUAGCAGGAAAGAGAACGUCUUACUCGAUCUUUCGACAUGAGCAGAUGAGCAAGGGUUGCGAUUGCUCUGCUGACACCCGUCUCACUCUGUUUCAUUGCCCAGCGGUCUCUCCAUCUCCAGAACCCCACUGGCUUUGGCAUUUUCCAACACCUUCGACACAUACAUUUUGACCAAAUAAUGGGACCGUUUUGUCGAUAAUUCCGGCUGGCAUUGUUCUGGCUGAUGACGUGACCGCUUGUGAAUCGACACUCAAGAGCUGGAGUCGCCGGACAAUACUCGAGAAUCAGAUCCACUUUGACGAGCUGGGGUACAGUACACUAAAAAGUACAGUGCAGUACCAGCAGGCGCUAGACUUGUGUGCCAAAGGUGGGAAGAAGAGAUGCUUGAUUCUGGAGGACGACGUAGUGUUCACCAACAGCGGAUCGAACCUCCUCCAGCGAAUCAGGGUUCCACAUGAUGUUUUUCAAUGGCCCAAAAUGGGCGUAUGACUGUUCGUCUGUGGGUCUGGGGUGGCUAAAGACGGGCCAGACAAGUAACAAAUCGCUGUGUCGAAUCGUGGAAAACCAAGCAGCUCCGUUCCUGACGGAAGAGAUUACCAAAAAAAAAGAGCUUGCCGCUGAUCUCACCUUGGGAAGGGCCCAGGAGGUGUGUGGAGUGAUCCAACAGACAACAACUGAUUGAAACAGCCACUCGGAAACAAUAUAUUUGUCUAACAUUGCAGU